UGUCAAAAAAGCUCUCUUCGCUCGUGCGCCGCUGGCGGAGUGUUUUUGUUUUGUUUAUCGGCAAGAAAUGCGCAACAGUUGCGAAUAACUCGUAAAUUUGUCCAGGAUGCAGCAUAAUUAAUGUGAGGACUAUGGCGAAGAAUGCGAGCUGCUGGUUCUGUUUGCGCAAUGUAGCACAUCUUCGCUAUUAUGUGAUAUGAUAGGUAAUUGGAACAUUCCACUUCGCCUUCAUUUGCCAAGGAACGAGAGAAUCUUGGAUCACUUGGAAUUAGCUGAACGAAUAGUUUCCGCGCACCCAUCACCUAAAAUAGCCGUUUGCCUGGUUUUCUACGAACCCGUAAAUAUCUUCCGUAAAAUAUCACAACAACUUCCGCGCCACCAUGACUUUUACGCAACCGUCGAUCCCAACCUGCUUGGCACACCUUAUCCUGGCAGGGGUCACCGGGUGGUCUCUAAAACAUCUGCCCAUCUGCCACGAUCCUAGUCAUUCCACUACCAGUAGUGACGCGAUCCCCCUCAUGCUGAUGUUGUUGGUCUUCCUAUUAGGUCACAGUUUGCUGGGAAUAUUCCGUCACAGCCAUCCAGAUCCCCACAAAAACCUACGGAAGAUCUACGACCUGUCCGUGCUGUUGGCCAUGGUUCUUCCACUGCCGCUGCUGAACACACAAUUGUACCUCAAGUACCAAGUGGGAGACGGAUCGCAUCUGACCCCUUAUAGUUACCUAUUGAUCAGUACGUCGCUACCAUUCCUGGUCGGGUGCCUUUAUUCAGAGCUAAGCCAACGACACAAAAGCCAAUAUGUAACAACGGUGGUUGCCCUCGUAAAUUUGACCGUACUAUUGUGGAUCUCAUUUUGCAACGAAAAUUUCUGGGGCAUCGGCCUGGCUGUGUCGUAUUGUAUGAAACAUUUUACUCUACCCCGACUGGCUGAUCGAUACAAUGUGCCGUUCGUCGAUCUUCAUACCUAUGGAUUAGGAUUUUUCGAGAUAUUUGCUAUCAACGUGGUAAUCGAUGCGGAUCUAUACCGGACCGAGCUAGUCGCCCAGUGAUGAUGCUUACUAUACUACAGAGACGAACAAACGAUCAAGUUUGCCUUACGAAACUGAAUCAAACUGCUUAUUCCAGAAACUUUUUACUAGAAUAUAAGAUGAAAUUUGUUAACAUAUAUUUUUCUACAUAUGUAUACAUAAUUCUUGUCAUAUAGAAGUUGAACUAUUAUUUUUAGCAUUAAAAUUUAGGCUUUUGACGCGUGAUAGGUUAUGGAAGCCCGUAACUUCAAGGACUUGGAAUUAGGAAGCGAAUGCAUGUUAAAUAGCUUGAAAUAAUCUAUUCUACUACAUAGCUACUUAUCAUAUUAUAUCUAUUAUACUAAAAGGAGAAAAGUCUUAAAAAUAUACGGCCGAAUCAAAACCAGUAGAAAAUAAUAAUACAAAUCUCUAUUCAUAUACAAUGUUUACACAUCGUAGUUAAUUCUUACAUGGAUAUAUUUUUUGCGAAACAGUAAAUGUAGCACAACAUUUUUCUAUUA